rnacentral:lncRNA from 1 species
AGUUGUUGUAGCUGGUACAAUCCUGGUCUUGUGACUUUGGACACAACGUAAGGCCCUUCCCAUGGUGAGUUGAGUUUGUGUAGCCCCAUUGUGUCUUCAAUGCACUUGAGGACCAUGUCGCCAAUGUUGAAACAAGGUUCUUUGAUGUUGCGAUCGUGGUAACUUCGUAGUCCUUCAAGGUAUCUUGCUGACUGUACGAGUGCUGCACAGCGUGAUUCUUCCAAGCUAUCGAGGUCUAAGCGCCUUGUUUCCUCUGUUGCCCCUCCAUCGUAUUGCUCGACCGCAGGGGACCUCCACAUGACGUCAGUAGGGAGUAUGGCU